rnacentral:tRNA from 3 species
GGUGACGUGUCUGAGCGGCCGAAAGAGCUCGCCUCGAAAGCGAGUGUAGGGAGACCUACCGCGGGUUCAAAUCCCGCCGUCACCGCCG